rnacentral:rRNA from 1 species
AUUGAACGCUGGCGGCAUGCCUUACACAUGCAAGUCGAACGGUAACAGGUCUUCGGAUGCUGACGAGUGGCGAACGGGUGAGUAAUACAUCGGAACGUGCCCAGACGUUGGGGAUAACGAGGCGAAAGCUUUGCUAAUACCGCAUACGAUCUAAGGAUGAAAGCAGGGGACCGCAAGGCCUUGCGCGUUUGGAGCGACCGAUGGCAGAUUAGGUAGUUGGUGGGAUAAAAGCUUACCAAGCCGACGAUCUGUAGCUGGUCUGAGAGGACGACCAGCCACACUGGGACUGAGACACGGCCCAGACUCCUACGGGAGGCAGCAGUGGGGAAUUUUGGACAAUGGGCGAAAGCCUGAUCCAGCAAUGCCGCGUGCAGGAUGAAGGCCUUCGGGUUGUAAACUGCUUUUGUACGGAACGAAAAGGCUCUGGCUAAUACCUGGGGCACAUGACGGUACCGUAAGAAUAAGCACCGGCUAACUACGUG